UGUACAGCGGUGAACUAUGAGUGCUAAGAAAGACUGGAGAACACCAGACUGAUAUUUCUGAUUCAUAUCAUCUUCAUUAGCUGCCCCAAAUCAAGGGACAGGACGUGGUCAGAAAUGAGGAUAUUUGAAGGCAACCUAGCAACUACCUCCAUCAGCACUGGUUCAAUUUUGGUAGCUUUCUUGGUAUGGAGGUAUUAUUAGGAUGGAAAACUGAUGAAUUCCAAGCAUGUGUAACAACGAAUGGCUCUUCAUGGCUGGUGCUUACGUGGGCAUCAAGAAGCUUCAGUGGCAGGACUAGAUUGCCAGAUGGAUGUGAAGUGAAUACUCAACCAAGCCACGCCACCUUAAGCAUCUUGCCGGAGUUCAAUCCAGGUGGUGUUCAAUUUGUAAGGAGGUCCCUUUCCUUUGGGAUUUGCCACAGCAAUGAUGGAAAAUGUAUGAGAUGCCCUGUUCCAUAGGUUAAAUUAUUCAAUAUUACAAGGGUUGAGUGGGUUGGGCUACAAAAUCCUGAACACAGAGGGAGGUUUGAAGGAGCAUUUGAAGAAAAAGAAAGGAAGCUUGGUGGUCUAUGACAGGAAGACUAUUCCAGGCAGCCAUGAUUCAAUGUGUACAGUCUAACUCGAAAUACCAGUUCCUGUGAUGAUAAUUCCGUUUGUAAUUGUUGGAUGUAAUGGCAGAUACAGGUCCAGAGAGCAGUGGGAGCAGCUGCUGCGACAUCCCAAAGGGAAGCAGCUCGCAAUGUAAGGAAAAAAGAGUAUUGGAGCAGAGAUAUGUUUUACAGACCUCAGAGAAGGCUUUUGCCAUUUACUCUCUGGACGGGAAGAGACUUUAAAGUAACCCAGCCGGAGGGCCAAGUCACAAGAAGAGGCAGACCGCUGGAGUGCCCUUCAGCAGGUGGUACCAGACAAGGAGAGAGCUGCUAUGCCAUGCCUGCCCACAAGGAGGCACUCUAGUGCUGCCAGAUGGUGUGGAGCAGAUGAUUGUUCCUCCUCGGAGUGGCUGAAUUUUAAACAGUUGAGCAUAGCAGUCUGCCUGGUAUUUUGCCUUUUUUAAGCUUGGCGAAAAGCAUUGGCUGCCCAUUUGAACCUAGUGCAGAACAAACACAACCUGUUAUUCAACAUUUUCCCAUUCUGAUCUUUGUUCAUGGCUGCCAACAUUGUUGCAAGUGGAGAGGAGCUUUUGUUUUUUCAAAACUGAAGAAAAUUACCAUCUAGUUCCCUGAAAAUUAAUUUAAAAAGAAACACCUGGGAGGAAAGCUGUAGUGAAUAGUUCAGUAAACAAAACCAAACAGCAAGUGCUCUCUCCAGUAGUGAAACAGAAUGACACUGAGCUGUGGGGCUUGCCUCGGCCUCCAGUUACACCAGUAUAAUUCUGUUGGGUUCAGUUGAGUUACAUGCUAUAAAACUAGUAUGAGAGCAGACUCAAGCCCAGGCUGUUAACAUGGUGCCUCCCAAUUGCUGUGUCACCGGGGUUGUUUAUACAAGGAAAUUACAUCGUGGUUGUUGCCACGACUCCUGAGGGUGCUGUUCCAGCAUGGUAUAAUCUUCCAGUAUCAACAAGCCCAUGCUUCAGAGUUGUAGGUAGCCAACAAACAGGAGGAUUAAUAUCAGCUUUUUGUGAUAUUGCAGAAGUGCCCCGUGCCUGGAUUGGGGCCCAAUUGUGCUAGGUAGAUCUUGUCCCUUCCCUGAAGUGCCUAUUGUCUAAUUUAAGACAAGAUACAACAAGUGAGCAUAAGGCCUCUACACACCGUUGCACCAGUUAAACUAAAAGGUGUGAUUUUUAAAUUGAUUUAGUUAAAUCAGUCCACACAAACCACUUUUAGAGCAUCCACGCUAGGAGGGUUGUACCUAUUUAGUUAAACUCAUGAAACUUGUGUGUGUAGAAAGAGCAAUCAAGUGGAGGGAGGAAGGACAGAACACUCAGGGCUGGUCUCCACUGGGAACUUACAUUGGCGUAGCUUCAUGUCUCUGGGGUGUGAAAAAUCCACAGCCCUGAGAGAGACAGCUACAGCCACCUAACCCCUGGGUGUAGACAGCACUAAGUUGACAAAAGUAUUCUUCUGGCAGCCUAGCUGCUGCCUCUCGGAGGUGGAUUGCCUAUGCUGAGAGAAGAACU